AUGCAAGUUUGUUUACUUUGGGUAUCUUUUUCUAUUUCCACUCAUUUGUCCAUUUUUAAUUACAAAAUUUCCACUUUGAUUUCAUUAUCAUCCAUGUUCUUAAAGAUUUAUAUAAGAAAUACAUCAAAUUCUCUUGCAUUGCAGAGAAAGAUUCUUAUUAUUAUUGUAGCAAGAGUCAUCAAGCCAUAA